rnacentral:rRNA from 1 species
GGGUGCGAUCAUACCAGCACUAAUGCACCGGAUCCCAUCAGAAUUCCGCAGUAAAGCGUGCUUGGGCGAG